CCCUUAGAGUUCGAUCCUGGCUCAGGAUGAACGCUAGCGACAGGCUUAACACAUGCAAGUCGAGGGGCAGCACAGGUAGCAAUUCCGGGUGGCGACCGGCGCACGGGUGAGUAACGCGUAUGCAACUUACCUAUCAGAGGGGGAUAACCCGGCGAAAGUCGGACUAAUACCGCAUGAAGCAGGGGCCCCGCAUGGGGAUAUUUGCUAAAGAUUCAUCGCUGAUAGAUAGGCAUGCGUUCCAUUAGGCAGUUGGCGGGGUAACGGCCCACCAAACCGACGAUGGAUAGGGGUUCUGAGAGGAAGGUCCCCCACAUUGGUACUGAGACACGGACCAAACUCCUACGGGAGGCAGCAGUGAGGAAUAUUGGUCAAUGGCCGAGAGGCUGAACCAGCCAAGUCGCGUGAGGGAUGAAGGUUCUAUGGAUCGUAAACCUCUUUUAUAAGGGAAUAAAGUGCGGGACGUGUCCCGUUAGUAUGUACCUAUAAUAGCAUCGGC
rnacentral:rRNA from 1 species